rnacentral:rRNA from 1 species
UGGAUGACUCUCGGCAACGGAUAUCUCGGCUCUCGCAUCGAUGAAAAACGUAGCGAAAUGCGAUACCUGGUGUGAAUUGCAAAAUCCCGUGAACCAUCGAGUCUUUGAACGCAAGUUGCGCCCGAGGCCAUCCGGCUAAGGGCACGCCUGCCUGGGCGUCACGC